ensembl:lincRNA
AUAAAAGAAGUAUAGGAAAUUUGGAAUAUAUAGUUUAAAGAGUAUUACAAUAGCCUGUAAUCUCAGUAACAAGACACUUGAGUGAAUAUCUUUCAGGUCCUUUAAAAUAUCUGUAUUUUUCAUACUUUUAAGUAUUUUUCUUCUUUUUUAUAAAAGAUAAACCUCUACUUGAAAAUGGAGAAAAAACCUAACGAAAAAGAGGAACUGACACUAGUGAAUAAUGUUUUAAAACUGGCUACUAAACUGCUGAAGGAAUUGGACAGUCCUUUUAGAUUAUAUGGGCUUACAAUGAAUCCGCUGCUUUAUAACAUCACCCAGGUUGUCAUGCUGUCCGCUGUUUCUGGUGUUAUCAGUGACUUGCUUGGAUUUAAUUUAAAGGUAAGAGGUUACAAGUACUUUUUAUUUCUUAGUUUCCUGUUGCCUUUUUGUCACACUCUUUUUACCCUCACAU